UAAGCUUUUGAUUUAUAGAAGUCAAUGUUUUCAGGAAUUCAAGAUGGUAGAAGCCACAAUUGUCGUAGACAGAAAAACUACAUCAGACAAGCAACGGCUAUACGAACAAUGUAUAACAGUACUUACAAUAUCUUAUAGGCACCACAAGGUUCUUUACAAAUAGUUUACAAAGGAUGCGUAUCAGGAAUUUGAUGAAAAAGGUUGGUGUGAAAAUCAAGUUCUGUAACCACGUGGUUUUAAGAUGGCCGACUGAGAACAGGUGUGCUAAUUUUAACGCGGAAGCAAGUAACUAUUUCACAGAAUUUGUUUACAUGUAAUACUGGAGAGGAAUGUAGCAGUGAAGAAAACCAGCAAGGAAAAUAGUAUGAAUCCCAAGAUGUUAGCCACACUGUGACCUGUGGUCAGAGUUAGACAAUGAGAUCAUUCCAAAUGAAAGCACUGAUUAUACUCCUACCAAAGGGCUUAGAGUCAGCAAAGUCAAUUAUGAGCUGAAGUCCCUUGAUCUUGACAUUGCUUCAAAUGAACAGAGGCUUGGAGGCAAUACUUCCUUAGUGACAGUGCCAACUGCCUGGCUGCAAAAGAUGAAAGCCAAAACUAGGAAGAUGACGCCCUCUUGUGCCCUAAAGAAAUAUUUGAUGUUUUUUCAAUCCUUGGGAGUUACAGGGAAUGAACUCCACAAAAAUUGAAGGAUGGUUGGGCCUGAAAAGGAAGUUUUCAGCGCAUUGGAAUUGUUUGCCAGCAGUGAGUUAGGACUCUCGUCAGUGGAGUUUAACAUAGUGAUAAAUACUAAAGCUGGAAACAGCAAAGCGAACGAUGCAACUGAACUUCUCGGACAUGGCCCUUCCAGCAAAAAAAGCCCAAGACAAAAAAAGAACUGUAAAGAAGUUCCUAUGCUAUAAAAUGCAACAUACACAUGUACAUAGACAGACAUUAUUCUACUAAUACUACCCUACUUAAGUUUAAUGCACUGAACAUUGUCAACAAAAAUUGAAACACUGUUAAAAGAUCUUGAAUGUUUAUUUUUCUUUAGGGUAUAGUUUUUUUUUUUUUAGCAAAUUGUUAUAUUAAUGCUCUGUAAAUGGACAAAGUACCAUUUGCAUUUUUUAAUGUAGUGUUGUCAUACAUUCCUUGCAUUGAAAGUUUAUAUUUGUUAAUUUCAAGGCUAGAGAAAUUACACACCUAAAAUCUGAAUGUACUGUUUCUUAUUAAAUGGGUAAUUUGGCAUUGUAAAAUUCAACUAAAAGUACUUAUUAAUCAUUGUCUCAUUAUUUUCUGCAAACAUAUGUAAUCAAAAUUUUAAUUACAUUUUGAUAAAUAGUACUUACUAGUGCUUAUGAAUUUUCUUUAUCUCAUGUUGGCUAUAUACUGUGUGCAGUCACACACAUUUGUGUCUAUUAUUUAUAAUUGUAUAAGAUUAUGUGCAACAUCGAAAAUAAUGCUAUCAUACCAUGUCAUCAUGCAUAUCUAUCAUACCAUGUCAUCAUGCAUAUCUAUCAUACCAUCAUGCAUAUCUAUCAUACCAUGUCAUCAUGCAUAUCUAUCAUACCAUGUCAUCAUGCAUAUUCUCUAUUUUGACAGCUGCUUUAUCAUUUUUUUUUUACAUAAAAAUCAAAAGACUAUUGACUUUUAGUUUUAAAUUGUCAUGUGUAUGUUUAUGUAAAUUAUUGUUUUUCAAAAAAAGCAAGAAGAUUAAUAUCAUGUUAAUAGAUCGUGAUAUUUUUAAUUAGUUAUCGCUUCUUAACUUUUUGUACUGUCUUUAUUGCGAUAACUUAAAUAAAUUUGUAGCCCGCCCGCUUAGCUCAGUAGGUAAGAGCGUUGGUCUACGGAUCGCGGGGUUGCGAGUUCGAUCCUCGGGCGGGGCGUAUAUUCUCCGUGAUAAAUGACAUUGUGUCUGAAAUCAUUAGUCCUCCACCUCUGAUAAUUCAUGUGGGGAAGUUGGCAGUUACUUGCGGAGAACAGGUUUGUACUGGUACAGAAUCCAGGAACACUGGUUAGGUUAACUGCCUGCCGUUACAUGACUGAAAUACUGUUGAAAAACGGUGUUAAACCCAAAACAAACAAAUAAAUAAAUUUGUAAAUCAUUAAAUGUUUGUAAUUUGUGUGUAUUUA